rnacentral:rRNA from 1 species
GACGAACGCUGGCGGCGUGCUUAAUACAUGCAAGUCGAACGGAAAGGCCCUGCUUUUGUGGGGUGCUCGAGUGGCGAACGGGUGAGUAACACGUGAGUAACCUGCCCUUGACUUUGGGAUAACUUCAGGAAACUGGGGCUAAUACCGGAUAGGAGCUCCUGCUGCAUGGUGGGGGUUGGAAAGUUUCGGCGGUUGGGGAUGGACUCGCGGCUUAUCAGCUUGUUGGUGGGGUAGUGGCUUACCAAGGCUUUGACGGGUAGCCGGCCUGAGAGGGUGACCGGCCACAUUGGGACUGAGAUACGGCCCAGACUCCUACGGGAGGCAGCAGUGGGGAAUAUUGCACAAUGGGCGGAAGCCUGAUGCAGCAACGCCGCGUGCGGGAUGACGGCCUUCGGGUUGUAAACCGCUUUCGCCUGUGGCGAAGCGUGAGUGACGGUAAUGGGUAAAGAAGCACCGGCUAACUACGUG